rnacentral:rRNA from 1 species
UGCGUAGGCGGGGCAAUUAGUCAGUGGUGAAAUCCUGCGGCUUAACCGUAGAAUUGCCAUUGAUACUGUUGCCCUUGAGUAUAGUUGAAGUGGGCGGAAUAUGUAAUGUAGCGGUGAAAUGCAUAGAGAUUACAUAGAACACCAAUUGCGAAGGCAGCUCACUAAGCUAUCACUGACGCUGAGGCACGAAAGCGUGGGGAGCGAACAGGAUUAGAUACCCUGGCAGUCC